rnacentral:rRNA from 1 species
GAGUUUGAUCGUGGCUCAGGACGAACGCUGGCGGCGUGCUUAACACAUGCAAGUCGAACGAUGAAGGGGAGCUUGCUCCUUGGAUUAGUGGCGAACGGGUGAGUAACACGUGAGUAACCUGCCCUUGACUCUGGGAUAAGCGUUGGAAACGACGUCUAAUACCGGAUAUGACCUGUGACGGCAUCAUCUGCAGGUGGAAAGAAUUUUGGUCAAGGAUGGACUCGCGGCCUAUCAGGUAGUUGGUGAGGUAACGGCUCACCAAGCCGACGACGGGUAGCCGGCCUGAGAGGGUGACCGGCCACACUGGGACUGAGACACGGCCCAGACUCCUACGGAGGCAGCAGUGGGGAAUAUUGCACAAUGGGCGAAAGCCUGAUGCAGCAACGCCGCGUGAGGGACGACGGCCU